rnacentral:lncRNA from 1 species
UUUCUUUUCUUGAGAUUUCAUUAUGAUUUUUUUUUUUUUGGUUUGGGUGGGUAGGGAAUGUCCUUUGUGAAAAUAAAGUAGUAGAUAUAUAUCAUGCAAGGGUGUUAUUUUCUAACCCCUCCCAAUGACCACAAUCUCUUUUAACAGCUGACCUCGUUUUCAAACAAAUACCUGAGAUUAACAGGCCCUUGUGGGGCUCACAUACCAGGGCCUAAUGUGCCUUAGUCUGUACUUCAAAAAACAGUAAAGGCUGGGGGUUUGACUCAGUACUGCAGUGCUUGCCUAGCAUACACAAUGCCACCGCUUCAGUUCCUAGUGCUGGAGGGUGCAAGGGAAGGCAAUAGUAAGUUAGACCAGUUUCCUUCCAAAUGUGCUGCUGUGUUUCACUCAGUUGUGAAUCCUAAAUUAUUAUUUUAUGUCUUAGGAAAUUGUAUUUUAGUGACAAAGAUCAUCAUUAUAACUUCUGAUAGUGUACAUUUUCAGAACAGCCUUACAGCAUGUACAAAAAUGUAUCAAAGGAUGUAUAGUUGGGGGUAUUUCAGCAACUGAACCUUCAUAAGCUACAAGCACACUACAAUAUUCACUAGUUUCAGAUUUCUUUAAAGUGUAAUAACCAGAGAAAGGAGAAACCUCAGAUAAAUCUGGUUUGGGUCAGUAAUUUUGCAAUUUAACAUUUGAGCAGAAAAGCAGGACUACUUGUAUUAAAUUGCACACAUUACUUCACUCUGUCGGCCUGGUGUGAUAAAAAUGAUAAGAUAUUCUUAGGUGUCUUAUAUCAGUACCUACAAUAGAGGGAAAGGGUUGUUUUGUUUUUAACUUCCUGCUUAAUUAACACAUAGUGUAAUAGUUGUGUAUGGUUAUGGUUCACUAACUUUAGUACUGGAGACUUACCUCCAGUCUCCUACUGAGAAAGAAAUUAGUUACUUAGUUAAUGGCUUUAGGGGUUGUGGGUGUAAUGUAUGCUUACCCACAAAGCAAUUUUCUAAUAGAAAGGACAAAGUGUUGGCUAUCUACUACCCUUGUGCUCUCCUGAAGAAGUGUCUUUUCUUCCAUAACUUUUAUUCCAUUAAACCUUCCCAUAUAGUCAUCCCCAUUCUUCUUCAAACUCAGGACUGUUUUUUUCAUUAGUUAUUAAUGCUUGCAUAUGUAUAUACAUUUAUGUAUGUGUAUAUGGACUGUUCAGUCCACAGUUUUAUAGAUUUAAUUACCUCAAAAUCAGAGACAGCUAAAAGUACUAAUUGAUAGGGUCUAUUACUGGGUAGUUUCUGAUUACAGACAUCUGUGAAAUUAAAAAUUAUGAAGGGUAAAAAUUGAUACUUUUAUUUAAAAACAAGGUACAGAUGAUAGAAGUAUUAACAGCUGAAUCAUCCAUAAGGUGAGCUAGGAUCUCAAUGUUUACAAGGCCAGAGGGGCCUCACAGGGACAAAAGUUUAGUGACAUGCUAACAUUCAUGUACCUUUGUUGUAUAAAAAGAAACACCUAUAAACAUAAAAAUGCGAGUCAGAAAUUUUGUUUUAAAAAUGCUUUCCUAGGGCUGGUGAGAUAGCUUACUGGUUAAGAGCAUUUGUUGCCUUAAAGAGGAUCUGGGUUUGGUUCCCAGCCCCCACAUGUUAGUUGGCAACUAUUCAUAACUGCAGUUCCAGGGGCUCUGACUCCCUCUUGUGUCCUCUGUGGACACUAGGCAUGCCUGAGAUGUACUUGCAUAUAUACAUGCAUACAUACAUACAUACAUACAUACAUACAUACGGACACUAGGCAUGCCUGAGAUGUACUUGCAUAUAUACAUGCAUACAUACAUACAUACAUACAUACAUACAUAUAUACAUACAUACAUGCAUGCAUGCAUACAUUCAAAACACUUGUACACAUAAAUAUUAAGAAACUACUAGGUGCUUUCUGAAGCUGGAUGUGAUAAAAAUCAUUUUCUUAAUAUUAAAUAAGCAUGUUGAAUUCAUGUGAUAUGUGCUCUUAACAUGAUUGUGAAAUAAAAAGCUCUAAAAGAAAGCACUUUCCUUCCC